rnacentral:rRNA from 1 species
CUGCCCAUAAGACUGGGAUAACUCCGGGAAACCGGGGCUAAUACCGGAUAACAUUUUGAACUGCAUGGUUCGAAAUUGAAAGGCGGCUUCGGCUGUCACUUAUGGAUGGACCCGCGUCGCAUUAGCUAGUUGGUGAGGUAACGGCUCACCAAGGCAACGAUGCGUAGCCGACCUGAGAGGGUGAUCGGCCACACUGGGACUGAGACACGGCCCAGACUCCUACGGGAGGCAGCAGUAGGGAAUCUUCCGCAAUGGACGAAAGUCUGACGGAGCAACGCCGCGUGAGUGAUGAAGGCUUUCGGGUCGUAAAACUCUGUUGUUAGGGAAGAACAAGUGCUAGUUGAAUAAGCUGGCACCUUGACGGUACCUAACCAGAAAGCCACGGCUAACUACGUGCCAGCAGCCGCGGUAAUACGUAGGUGGCAAGCGUUAUCCGGAAUUAUUGGGCGUAAAGCGCGCGCAGGUGGUUUCUUAAGUCUGAUGUGAAAGCCCACGGCUCAACCGUGGAGGGUCAUUGGAAACUGGGAGACUUGAGUGCAGAAGAGGAAAGUGGAAUUCCAUGUGUAGCGGUGAAAUGCGUAGAGAUAUGGAGGAACACCAGUGGCGAAGGCGACUUUCUGGUCUGUAACUGACACUGAGGCGCGAAAGCGUGGGGAGCAAACAGGA